UUUUAUGGAGAGUUUGAUCCUGGCUCAGGACGAACGCUGGCGGCGUGCCUAAUACAUGCAAGUCGAGCGAACAGAGAAGGAGCUUGCUCCUUCGACGUUAGCGGCGGACGGGUGAGUAACACGUGGGCAACCUACCUUAUAGUUUGGGAUAACUCCGGGAAACCGGGGCUAAUACCGAAUAAUCUGUUUCACCUCAUGGUGAAACACUGAAAGACGGUUUCGGCUGUCGCUAUAGGAUGGGCCCGCGGCGCAUUAGCUAGUUGGUGAGGUAACGGCUCACCAAGGCGACGAUGCGUAGCCGACCUGAGAGGGUGAUCGGCCACACUGGGACUGAGACACGGCCCAGACUCCUACGGGAGGCAGCAGUAGGGAAUCUUCCACAAUGGGCGAAAGCCUGAUGGAGCAACGCCGCGUGAGUGAAGAAGGAUUUCGGUUCGUAAAACUCUGUUGUAAGGGAAGAACAAGUACAGUAGUAACUGGCUGUACCUUGACGGUACCUUAUUAGAAAGCCACGGCUAACUACGUGCCAGCAGCCGCGGUAAUACGUAGGUGGCAAGCGUUGUCCGGAAUUAUUGGGCGUAAAGCGCGCGCAGGUGGUUUCUUAAGUCUGAUGUGAAAGCCCACGGCUCAACCGUGGAGG
rnacentral:rRNA from 1 species